CCUACGGGGGGCUGCAGUGGGGAAUAUUGGACAAUGGGGGGAACCCUGAUCCAGCCAUGCCGCGUGUGUGAAGAAGGCCCUCGGGUUGUAAAGCACUUUCAGUGAGGAAGAACGCCUGGUGGUUAAUACCCAUCAGGAAAGACAUCACUCACAGAAGAAGCACCGGCUAACUCCGUGCCAGCAGCCGCGGUAAUACGGAGGGUGCGAGCGUUAAUCGGAAUUACUGGGCGUAAAGCGCGCGUAGGUGGCUUGAUAAGCCGGUUGUGAAAGCCCCGGGCUCAACCUGGGAACGGCAUCCGGAACUGUCAAGCUAGAGUGCAGGAGAGGAAGGUAGAAUUCCCGGUGUAGCGGUGAAAUGCGUAGAGAUCGGGAGGAAUACCAGUGGCGAAGGCGGCCUUCUGGACUGACACUGACACUGAGGUGCGAAAGCGUGGGUAGCAAACAGGAUUAGAUACUCCGGUAGUC
rnacentral:rRNA from 1 species